rnacentral:rRNA from 1 species
CCUACGGGUGGCAGCAGUGGGGAAUAUUGGACAAUGGGGGCAACCCUGAUCCAGCCAUGCCGCGUGUGUGAAGAAGGCCCUCGGGUUGUAAAGCACUUUCAGUGAGGAAGAACGCCUGGUGGUUAAUACCCAUCAGGAAAGACAUCACUCACAGAAGAAGCACCGGCUAACUCCGUGCCAGCAGCCGCGGUAAUACGGAGGGUGCGAGCGUUAAUCGGAAUUACUGGGCGUAAAGCGCGCGUAGGUGGCUUGAUAAGCCGGUUGUGAAAGCCCCGGGCUCAACCUGGGAACGGCAUCCGGAACUGUCAAGCUAGAGUGCAGGAGAGGACGGUAGAAUUCCCGGUGUAGCGGUGAAAUGCGUAGAGAUCGGGAGGAAUACCAGUGGCGAAGGCGGCCUUCUGGACUGACACUGACACUGAGGUGCGAAAGCGUGGGUAGCAAACAGGAUUAGAUACCCCAGUAGUC